CAGUCGCCGCGGGAAUACGUAGGGUGCAAGCGUUAAUCGGAAUUACUGGGCGUAAAGCGUGCGCAGGCGGUUAUAUAAGACAGAUGUGAAAUCCUCGGGCUCAACCUGGGAACUGCAUUUGUGACUGUAUAGCUAGAGUACGGCAGAGGGGGAUGGAAUUCCGCGUGUAGCAGUGAAAUGCGUAGAUAUGCGGAGGAACACCGAUGGCGAAGGCAAUCCCCUGGGCCUGUACUGACGCUCAUGCACGAAAGCGUGGGGAGCAAACAGGAUUAGAGACCCCUGUAGUCCCUGUCUCUUAUAC
rnacentral:rRNA from 1 species